GUGCUUGCUUCAGCAGCACAUAUACUAAAAUUGGAAUGAUACAGAGAAGAUUUAGCAUGGCCUCUGUGCAAGGAUGAUGGGAAAAUUUGUGAAAAACACUUAAUACAC
rnacentral:snRNA from 1 species